CCGCAUGGGCUUGUCCCGCGGCGGACCAUUCAAGUUUCUGCCCCAUCAUGCUUUCGAUGGUAGUGUAUUGGACUACCAUGGCUUUCACGGGUAACGGAGGAUUAGGGUUCGAUUCCGGAGAGGGAGCCUGAGAAACGGCUACCACUUCCACGGAAGGCAGCAGGCGCGUAAAUUACCCAAUCCUGACUCAGGGAGGUAGUGACAAGAAAUAAUGGGUCGGGGUUUCACCCCGGGACUGCAAUGAGAUGAAUCUAGACCCCUUAUCGAGGACCAAUUGGAGGGCAAGUCUGGUGCCAGCAGCCGCGGUAAUUCCAGCUCCAAUAGCGUAUAUUAAAGUUGUUGCAGUUAAAAAGCUCGUAGUUGGAUUUCUGGUCGGGGGUUAGGGCGCACUGUCGUGAUGCCCGCGUCUUCGGCCAUCCUUCUGUUAACCCUUCAGGGCGUUCGUUCGUCGGUUGGGGGCUCAGAUAUUUUACCUUGAGAAAAUUAGAGUGUUUCAGGCAGGCUUGUGCCCGGAUACAUUAGCAUGGAAUAAUGGAAUAGGACUUUAGCCUCUUCUGUUGGUCUGAGGGGUUGGAGUGAUGAUUAAUAGGGAUAGUUGGGGGCAUUAGUACUUAACUGUCAGAGGUGAAAUUCUCGGAUUUGUUAAAGACUAACUUAUGCGAAAGCAUUUGCCAAGGAUGUUUUCAUUAAUCAAGAACGAAAGUUAGGGGAUCAAAGACGAUCAGAUACCGUCCUAGUCUUAACCAUAAACUAUGCCGACUCGGGAUCGGGGGCCAGAGUUAACUGCCUUCGGCACCGUAUGAGAAAUCAAAGUCUUUGGU
rnacentral:rRNA from 1 species